rnacentral:rRNA from 1 species
UACGUAGGCAGCAAGCGUUUGUUCGGAGUUACUGGGCGUAAAGGGUGCGUAGGCGGUCGCGCAAGUCUGAUGUGAAAGCCCACGGCUCAACCGUGGAGGGUCAUUUGGAAACUGGGGAACUUUGAGUGCAGAAGAGGAAAGUGGAAUUCCAAGUGUAGCGGUGAAAUGCGUAGAGAUUUUGGAGGAACACCAGUGGCGAAGGCGACUUUCUGUCUGUAACUGACACUGAGGCGCGAAAGCGUGGGGAGCGAACAGG